UACGGAGGGUGCGAGCGUGUCCGGAAUAUUGGGCGUAAAGGGCGCGUAGGUGGCCCAGUAAGCGUGCGGUGAAAGCUCGGGGCUCAACCCCGAGUCCGGCCGUGCGAACUACUGGGCGUGGAGCACUUGUAGGAGGCAGGCGGAAUUCCGGGUGUAGCGGUGGAAUGCGUAGAGAUCCGGAAGAACACCGGUGGCGAAGGCGGCCUGAC
rnacentral:rRNA from 1 species